AUCUGCUGCCUGAGAGAGACCGAGAAUUUCUUUUCGUAAAAUAGUCCUGACAAAGCCACCCACUGAGUUGUCUUUUGCUUAACCCCCAAGUCAUGGUGACUUGACGUUUUUCAGCAUAAAAACUAUAUUUCUACCCCCUAAGGUAGAAGGAAUAGGAGUAGUCCUGCGGUGUGUUCUUCUCUGCCCAGGAAUCAGGCCUUGGUGCCCAGAUGAGGUCCUGCCUUGGGGAGAAGUCCAUAGGAAGCUUCCAUCUUGGUCACGCUUUGGGAUCAGGCCCCGCACCUGUUCCCGAUUUCCUUGCCUGGGUGCCUCAGGUCCUCCCCGUGAAGACCCAGACCUUUGGUUCCUCUUCAUCUCUCAGGCAUUGCCCUGCCUGACUCCCCACACGUCUCCCUGCAGCGAAGCAUGCAUUUUGGAGCAAGUAUGAGCCCCCUCUUUGGAUUUGUCUUGGUCUCAGGUUUCCAGUUCCACUGGGACCAGAGAGGCCUUCUCAUCUAGUUUCCUGCCUCUAACUUGCUUUCUUCCCAUUUUCCAGGUUCUGGCUCUUUCCAGUGUGCCCACACUCUGUGGCAUAACACCCCAAACUGACACACACACCCCAGGCUGAGUCUUUUCUGGGCCAGUCGUUAGAGGGCAGAGAGAGCUCAAAGAUCUUUCUUGAAAACAGCUGCGCAAAC